CGGAAGGACUCCGACGCUGACUGUGUGGAAUAGUUGCGAUUUACAUUCUGGAAACUUAGCACUGCUACAUUGCUUCGUGAAAACAGAAUGGCAGAUUCAACUAGUCAUCACGGCAACAGAAAAAGGAAGAAGAACAUCUCAGGACGUCCUUGCACGGCCAAAGGAUGUACAAAUCGCACGCAUGGAAGCCGACAUUCAUUCUUCCGAUUUCCCAUCGAUGAACGGAAAUCUGCGUGGAUCGCCUAUGCACAACGCCCUGAGCUGAACCUGAACGAUUUGGCAGACUGAGCUCUAAGUUGUAGGCUUUUGUGUGGCGAGCACUUCUCACCGGACUGCUUCAUCUCUCGUGCCAAAGUACGGUUGAAGAAAACAGCUUGUCCGACAGUUCCGCUGCAGGGACAAGCCAGUACUUCACUGCAGAGACAAUGGCCUGGGCUACUUGCACUUGAUUAUGAUAUGCCUCUUCAAUCACAAGAGCAAACACAGGAGCCUCAUGGUGCAUCAGAUAUGCCAGUGGAAG